CAGCAGGAAUGGCAUCUUUCCAACUACAGCUGUGCUCCCCAUUUCCUCAUUCCCUAUUGUACCAUCUCUAAUGCUGUCUUGCUGUCUAAAGAAAAAGCAGCAAGUAAAGUGAUUUGCCUUUUGCUCAUGUAUGCAGCAUUUAUUUAGAUGCACACAGAUCACUGAGCUCAGCAAAGUUCACAGAUCAGUGGAAAUCUUUUUCUGUUCCCUUUUAACUUCAGAAUUAUCCUGGUGCAUUAUAACAAAGUCAUGGUGAAAUUAGCUUCUUAUGAUCUUCAGCAUCUUGCGUGAGGAUUUCUUCAGAGGCUGGAGAUGUGCCUUCAGACCUUCUCUUCAUUGACAUUGAAAAUUGCACAGGAAUAAGGUGGCUGACAUAAUGAAUGGUACUGAAGGGAAGAGCAACAGGACUGGCAUCCCGGCAGCCAUGGAUAAGAAUCAUAUACCCAGAUGGAAUGCUACUAUACAGCAAGGACACAAUGGAUGGAGUAUCCUUACUGAAAUAAGUCAGCGUUUCUCAGCCUUUAAGUAUUUGCGACUCGAAUUUUCAUAUCAGUUUUAAUCGCAC